rnacentral:rRNA from 1 species
CCUACGGGGUGCAGCAGUGGGGGAUAUUGCACAAUGGGGGGAACCCUGAUGCAGCGACGCCGCGUGUGGGAAGACGGUCCUCUGGAUUGUACACCACUGUCCCCAGGGACGAAAAUGACGGUACCUGGGGAGGAAGCUCCGGCUAACUACGUCCCAGCAGCCGCGGUAAUACGUAGGGAGCGAGCGUUGUCCGGAAUUACUGGGUGUAAAGGGAGCGUAGGCGGGGAUGCAAGUUGGGUGUCAAAACUACCGGCUCAACUGGUAGUCGCACUCAAAACUGCAGCUCUUGAGUGAAGUAGAGGCAGGCGGAAUUCCUAGUGUAGCGGUGAAAUGCGUAGAUAUUAGGAGGAACACCAGUGGCGAAGGCGGCCUGCUGGGCUUUUACUGACGCUGAGGCUCGAAAGUGUGGGGAGCAAACAGGAUUAGAUACCCUUGUAGUC